UACAGAGGUCUCAAGCGUUGUUCGGAUUCAUUGGGCGUAAAGAGUGCGUAGGCGGUUUUCUAAGUUUGGUGUGAAAUCUCCCGGCUCAACUGGGAGGGUGCGCCGAAGACUGGAAGGCUUGAGUAUGGGAGAGGUAAGCGGAAUUCCUGGUGUAGCGGUGAAAUGCGUAGAUAUCAGGAGGAACACCGGUGGCGAAGGCGGCAUCCUGGACCGACACUGACGCUGAGGAGCGAAAGCCAGGGGAGCAAACGGG
rnacentral:rRNA from 1 species